GACGAACGCUGGCGGCGUGCUUAACACAUGCAAGUCGAACGGAAAGGCCCUGCUUUUGUGGGGUGCUCGAGUGGCGAACGGGUGAGUAACACGUGAGUAACCUGCCCUUGACUUUGGGAUAACUUCAGGAAACUGGGGCUAAUACCGGAUAGGAGCUCCUGCUGCAUGGUGGGGGUUGGAAAGUUUCGGCGGUUGGGGAUGGACUCGCGGCUUAUCAGCUUGUUGGUGGGGUAGUGGCUUACCAAGGCUUUGACGGGAAGCCGGCCUGAGAGGGUGACCGGCCACAUUGGGACUGAGAUACGGCCCAGACUCCUACGGGAGGCAGCAGUGGGGAAUAUUGCAAAAUGGGCGGAAGCCUGAUGCAGCAACGCAGCGUGCGGGAUGACGGCCUUCGGGUUGUAAACCGCUUUCGCCUGUGACGAAGCGUGAGUGACGGUAAUGGGUAAAGAAGCACCGGCUAACUACGUG
rnacentral:rRNA from 1 species